UACGGAGGGGGCUAGCGUUGUUCGGAAUUACUGGGCGUAAAGCGCACGUAGGCGGCUUUGUAAGUUAGAGGUGAAAGCCCGGGGCUCAACUCCGGAAUUGCCUUUAAGACUGCAUCGCUAGAAUUGUGGAGAGGUAAGUGGAAUUCCGAGUGUAGAGGUGAAAUUCGUAGAUAUUCGGAAGAACACCAGUGGCGAAGGCGGGCAUCUGGGCCAACACUGACGCUGAGGCGCGAAAGCUAGGGGAGCAAACAGG
rnacentral:rRNA from 1 species